UUAUUUUGUACCUAAAACACAACAAAACCCCCUCCAUGAUCAUGAUACAUACAGUAGCAUGAACAGAAACUCGAAAACACAGCAUUCAAAAAAACUGAUGCAGAUUGUAUCUAGCCAUAACAAAAUGAUUGAUCUUCGUACGGUAAUUGAUUACAAAAUGACAAGCAAAUGAUUUCUAAUCUGUAAAUCACCAUAUUUCUAAUAGCCUAACAACUAGUUAAUACACUGAUAUGCAUUCAUUCUUAAUUCCAAACUAUGCAAGAAAAUGUAUGGUAAAGCCACGUUUUUUAGAUACACACAUACUUCAAGUUUGGACAUCCAAAAACAAGUUUAGUGCAAAAAAUCAUGCUGGCCCUUUUCCUUUCUUAUCACAUUCCGCAUUUGCAUUUCCGUUGCGUCUAGGUAAGAUUAUCUCUACAUCUUUUUAGUGAGUUGAUUGGCACAUUGUUUCGAACAUGCAAGAGACAUUAUUCUCUAAUCCAGUCGCCCCAUGAUUAGUGAAGGAGUUGCCAACGGAUCUUGAUUUAAUAGACAUUUCACCCUCUUUGACACACUCCCAAAAUCCACAUUUUUUGCUGCAACACUUGAACAAUUUACUUUUG
rnacentral:lncRNA from 1 species